AGCUCAGUGGUAGAGCACUUGCCUGGCAUGCAUGAGGCCCUGGGUUCAAAACCCCG
rnacentral:tRNA from 1 species